rnacentral:rRNA from 1 species
AGCCAAACAGCUAGCCUAACAAACCAUAAGCAACAAAAAAUUAUCAAUAACCCUAAAAACACUCAACCAACUAAAUAAACCAUUUUCCCUCUCUAGUAUAGGAGAUAGAAAUAGACACCCUGAGCCAUAGAUGACGUACCGCAAGGGAACGCUGAAAGAGAACUGAAACAACCCAGUAAAGCUAAGAAAAGCAGAGCUUAAGCCUCGUACCUUUUGCAUCAUGAUUUAGCAAGUAACCCUAAGCAAAAAGAAUUUUAGUUUUAGCCCCCGAAACUAAGUGAGCUACUCCAAGACAGCCUAUAUUGAAGGGCAAACCCCUCUCUGUGGCAAAAGAGUGGGAAGAGCUUUGAGUAGAGGUGACAGACCUACCGAACUUAGUUAUAGCUGGUUGCCUGGGAAUUGGAUAGAAGUUCAGCCCUCUGCCUUCUUAAGUCAAAACCAAACCUUUAAGCAGACAAAAAGAAAGCAAAGGAGUUAGUUAGAGGAGGUACAGCUCCUGUAUCACAAGACACAACUUUACCAGGAGGAUAAAGAUCAUAAUUUUUAAGGAAUCUGUGUUUAGGUGGGCCCAGAAGCAGCCACCCUCAAAGAAAGCGUUAAAGCUCGAACACAAAACUUCCCAUCAAUAAUGAUAACUCAUCUGAAUCCCCUAGUACUACCCGGCCUUCCCAUGCACUCAUGGGAUAGAUAAUGCUAAUAUGAGUAAUAAGAAAGAAAGACUUUCUCCCGGCACAAGUGUAUAUCGGAACGAACCCGCACCGAAAAUUAAAGGCCCCAAAGCACAGAGGGUAAUGGAACAAACAUCACUAACAAGAAACACCCCCAACACUUGCCUUUGACCCCACACUGGCGUGCCCAUUCGGGAAAACUAAAAGAGAAAGAAGGAACUCGGCAAACAUAAGCCUCGCCUGUUUACCAAAAACAUCGCCUCUUGAACGACACACAUAAGAGGUCCUGCCUGCCCGGUGACCUUGAGUUUAACGGCCGCGGUAUCUUAACCGUGCAAAGGUAGCGUAAUCACUUGUCCCUUAAAUGGGGACCUGUAUGAACGGCAAGACGAGGGCUUGACUGUCUCCUUUCUCCAGUUAAUGAAAUUGACCUUCCCGUGCAGAGGCGGGAAUACUAUCAUAAGACGAGAAGACCCUGUGGAGCUUAAGGCACUUGUUCUGCUCAUGUAGAAAACUCCAAUUAACGAGCACUACUUUGUGAAACCAGACCCAAUGCCUUCGGUUGGGGCGACCCUGGGGAAACAAAAAACCCCCAUGUGGAGUGGGGCUACCAGCCCUAAAAACAAGAGCCCCUGCUCUAAUCAACAGUACCUCUGACCUAACGAUCCGGCCAAGGCCGAUUAACGAACCAAGUUACCCCAGGGAUAACAGCGCAAUCCCCUUAUAGAGCCCAUAUCGACAAGGGGGUUUACGACCUCGAUGUUGGAUCAGGAUGUCCUAAUGGUGCAGCCGCUAUUAAGGGUUCGUUUGUUCAACGAUUAAAAUCCUACGUGAUCUGAGUUCAGACCGGAGUAAUCCAGGUCGGUUUCUAUCUAUGACGUAAUUUAUCUUAGUACGAAAGGAUCAGAAAAAUGAGGCCCCUGCUUUAAACAAGCCUCCCUCUCACUUGCUGUCUUCAACUCAAGUAAACAAGAGGUUACACAAACGAGCCCCAGAACAUGGCC